GCAAGUUCCUACUUUGUAAGUACAAAUCCCUUCGACCUGAUUAUGCCGCCGCUUCGUGGCUGAUUUUCCAUUGAAUCGCAAAACUCCGAUCCAAGUAUAAUACCCAAAUCGACGCAUCUUAUCUUCUUAAGCUGAUCUCUCCAACUACUCCAUUCUCACAGAACAACCCAAACCCUAGCUCGCUUCAGUUGUCAUCAUCAUGGGUGACUACAACGAUGCCUUCAUGCGCAACCAAAACGCUGCCGUUCGCGGCACCACCAAGGGCCAGAACCGCGCUAAUGUUCUCCAGCUCAAACUGAUUGGGCAAAGCCACCCGACUGGUUUAACAGCUAAUUUGUUGAAACUAUUUGAGCCUCGACCUCCACUGGAUUUUAAACCCCCUCCAGAGAAGAGAAAAUGCCCACCAUAUGCUGGCAUGGCCCAGUUUGUCAGUCAAUUUGCUGAGCCUGGGGAUCCUGAGUAUUCUCGGCCCGUCCAGGAAGGUGAAACUCCUGCACAAAGAAGGGCUAGAAUUCACAAGUUACGAUUAGAGAAAGGUGCUGAGAAGGCUGCCGAGGAGCUUCAGAAAUAUGAUCCAAAUAAUGACUCAAAUAUUAUAGGAGAUCCAUACAAGACUUUGUUCGUUGCUAGGCUUAAUUAUGAGACAACUGAGAGUAGAAUUAAAAGGGAGUUUGAGUCUCAUGGACCAAUAAAACGGGUAGGUAUUUUUGAGUAUACCCAAGCGGAUUUGGUAAGAGGUUAUGCAGUGGCAUUAUUUAAAUGUUUCCCAAUUAACUUUUUCCUCCUUUCAAAAUUCUAUUUUUUGAAAAUCUUAAGUUCAUGCCUUCUAUUAUCAUUUUUUUGAACUAAAUAAAAGAUUUUAAGGGCUCUAAAGUUUCUUCAAUCAUCUCUGUAUUUUCUAAUAUUCCUUAGUUGAACCUAUGAUAAUUCAGCAUUAAAGCUUUGGUGCUUGGUAAGAUUAUUUCUAAAAUCCCUUUUAGUCAAACUUGAAUUCAGUCGAGUAUCACAGUUGCAACAGUUCUGUAUUGGUGGUAAGUGUAAUUAGUCAUGCAUAGUGCAUCUACCAUUCAGUAUCUAUAUGAAAGGGAGAAUGCUGAGCAUCUACCUGUUGUGUUGUAUCACUGGUGGAGUUUGCAAUUAAGAGCACGGGUACCACUGCCUAUUUACUGGUAAAGGCACGGGUUUGUUCUACUGAUCCUUUGAUAACUCUGCUUUACUUGUAGUUUGGUUUAGAAAUCAUCGUCGGAUGGGGGGAUCUUCCGUUUCUAGGUAUUGAUUUUAGUAUUAAGAUUCUUCAUGUUAAGAGAAUCUGGUAAGGAGGUUCUUCAUUUUGUUCUGUUCCAUAAAUAGAAAAUUUACUUCCCCUUUUCCUUACUAUCGAAUUCCAACAAUGUCCUUCAUCCUGCUGGGAAAGCUGAAAAUUAAGCUGAGCAGAGCAAGUGAUAUACUGUGCCUUUUAGCCUUUAUUUUCAAGCAACAAAAGGAGACUGGAAUCUGUCCUUUCCCCUGCACUGGGUAAAACAUUUUGGGAGUAUUAGCAUCUCUUUCCCUUUAUUUGAGUUUUUUCUUUUUUGGUAAUUCCCUGCUACUGAAAAUUUUAUUUUUGGCUUCAAAGGCUAUCAAAAACAUAUCAGCAGUUGAGAAGAUGUUCUGCACUGGUGGUGAUGCAUCUCGCGAAUGGAAGCUCUAUGAUUAAAAGGUGAGCACGGCUAAUGAGGCUUAUUGCCUGUCUGCCGUGCCAUUUAGGCUUUAUUAUCUUACACUUAAAGAGUUGGCACUUAGUUGUAUAAAAAUGAACAGUAAAUACUAUGGUAUUGGUAUCAUUCAAAAAAUAGCUGACCCAUAAAUGCACUUCAAUUGUUCUGCUUUGAGCAUUGCAGGUCCGACUGAUAACUGAUAAAAUGACGAAUAAACCUAGAGGCUAUGCUUUCAUUGAAUAUAUGCAUACUCGAGACAUGAAAGCUGCAUAUAAGCAAGCUGAUGGGAGGAAGCUUGAUGGCAGAAGGGUACUUGUGGAUGUUGAGCGGGGUAGAACUGUCCCAAAUUGGCGGCCUCGCAGACUAGGUGGUGGACUUGGAACUACACGAGUAGGGGGUGAAGAAGUUAAUCAAAGGUAUUCUGGGAGGUAAUUUCUCUGAUUUACAGCUCUUUCCUCGGACUUUUGCAUUUGGAUGCUGAUACUCCACUGUAUUUUGGGCACUCAUUUUUUCAUGCUGGUAUCUUUUAUCCUGGAAGCGCUACCUAUCAUUUUAAAAAAAAAAAUGUUUGAAUGCAAGGAGUGUCUGGUCUAAGACAUGCAUAUAAAGAUGGAUAUAUGUUCUUAUUUGAGUUGGAGUAUAGUUGAUUUUGGUUUUGUGUACAUUAGGAUAAUCUACAUUAUUUAUUCUUGGCUUAAUGCUUGUUAACGUUUUUUAAUGAGUUCAAAAGUGGCUAUGUUCUGAGCAUGUGUAAUUGAAUUUUAUCAAUGUCAAGAUACUGAGCAUGAGUUAUUGAAUUUUAUUAAUGUUAUGGUUGAUGAUACAUUCAUGUGAAAUGACAGUGCUUGUCUGACUUGGAACUUGUAUUAAUGUUCUUAACUUUCAUCAGAGAGCUACAACAAUCGGGAGGAUCAUCUCGAUCUGAGGAGCCAAGGGUGCGAGAAGAUCGUCACAGUGAACGUGAAAGGGAAAAAUCUCAUGAAAGAGGAAGGGAAAGAGAGAGGGAACGGGAGAGGUCUCGUGAGCGCUCCCAUGACAGGCCAAGGGAACGUGACCAGAGAGAAGAUAGGCACCACAGAGAUCGUGAUAGGGAGAAGGACUGGGAGAGGGAGAGAGAACGUGGAUGGGACAGGGAUCGUGACCGGGACCGUGCACGUGGUCGUGGUCGUGAUCGUGAUCGUGAUCGAGGCCGGGACCGUGGUCGCGAGUAUGGCCGGGACCGUGACCGUGACCGUGACAGAGACAAUGGUAGGGAACAUGAUCGUGAUCGCCCUCGUGAGAGGGAUUAUGAAGUUGGUGACCAUGGUCGUGGGCGUUCCCAUGAUAGAGAAUCUAAUUAUGAUCAUGUUGAUUCAAAACAUGAGAGGGAUCGCCGUGCUGAAAGGGACUAUGAUCAUGCUGAGCCAGAGGAUGACCGUGGUUGGUAUGAACAAUCUGAGCAAGAGCAUAGGCAGCCAGAUGCCGAGCAUGAUCGGCCUUAUGAUCAUUAUGAAGAUCACCGAAGUAGGAGACAAAAUGAUCAUAUGGAUGUUCAAGGUGACCAUGACCGCUAUGAUCAAUAUCCUGAUCAUGAUCAGGAUCGUAAUGAUCGGAUGGAUGACGAUGAUUAUUAUCAUGAAGCAUCUGAAUCACAUCAAAGAGAGCAUGAAUAUCGGCGCUCAAAGAGGUCACUUUCCCAGGACUAUGAUAACUGAAGGUGCACGUUUGCUGUAAUCAGCUGUUGUGCUUUGCCUGUAAGGUCACUGAGGAUAACUGAAGCCCUUUUUGCUAUAUUGCUCUUUGCCUUUCCUACCUGAUUUGGUUUGAAUUAUGUGAAUUAGUGUAGGUGUUUGUUUGAUUAAAAGCCAGAGUGGCUUGUUUUCUCUACUUUAAAUAUUGCCGUUGGACUUCCAUUUUAUGUACAAGUUAAUAGUAUUCAAGGAUAUUUGAUUGUUUUGCUGGAUUUUGUUCCUAAAUCUGAAAUGAUCCGGAUAUUUGCCUUGCUUGGCUUCUGUUCCCUGAUUGCAAUAUCAUCUUGUGCUGUAAUAAGAUUUGAUCAAUUUAAUUGGUGGCCGCAUGACAAGAUUCUACCUUGGGCACUGAGGUAACCAUACAAUUUGCAAGAAUGUAUAUGGUGCUAAAUCCCAGUGAUUGCUGGGGUUUCCUUUGGAAGUAAUAGAUUGUAGUUGAUUUUUGUUUAAUGCUGUUUGUUUA
rnacentral:misc_RNA from 1 species